UACGGAAUGUGCAAACGUUAUUCGGAAUCACUGGGCUUAAAGAGUCCGUAGGCGGCAUGUUAGGUGAGGUGUGAAAUCCCCCGGCUCAACCGAGGAAUUGCGCUUCAAACUGGCGUGCUUGAGGAAGAUAGAGGUGGGCGGAACUGAUGGUGGAGCGGUGAAAUGCGCAGAUAUCGGGAGGAACAUCAGUAGCGAAGGCGGUUCUCUGGGCCGGUACUGACGCUGAGGAGCGAAAGCGUGGGUAGCGAACAGG
rnacentral:rRNA from 1 species